rnacentral:lncRNA from 1 species
UGGGCAUCUUCGACGCGGACGUCAAGCCCGUGGGCGACAACGCCAUCUCCGUGGACGGCAAGGUGAUCAAGGUGGUGUCCGACCGCAACCCCUCCAACCUGCCGUGGGGCGAGAUGGGCAUCGACCUCGUCAUCGAGGGCACCGGCGUCUUCGUCGACCGCGCCGGCGCGGGCAAGCAUCUCGAGGCCGGCGCCAAGAAGGUGCUCAUCACCGCGCCCGGCAAGGGCGACAUCCCCACCUACGUCUGCGGCGUCAACGCCGACCUCUACACCCACGCCGACACCAUCAUCAGCAACGCCUCCUGCACCACCAACUGCCUCGCCCCCUUCGUCAAGGUGCUCGACCAAAAGUUCGG